rnacentral:tRNA from 1 species
UACCAUUUGGUUUAGUGGCAUAGUCUCCCCUUCGUAAGUGGGAGGUUGUGAGUUCGACUCACGAAAUGUUAU